UUGGCCUUAGAUCACUAAAAAGUUCACCGUGGUUUGUGAACCUUUCAAGCAGAUGGAGCCAGGGUUCUGCCAUGCGCCCGCCCCACCGAUGCCAGGAGGGAUUUAUGGGGCUGAGCGGGAAGCAGCCAUACGAGAGAGGGCUUGAGGGUGUGCACGUCUGGACGCUGAGAGAGGAGGACUACGCAGGACUGAUUUUUUAAAUUAUAGUGACCUUGAUUCAGUGAAACAGGACCUUGUCGUGCAGGAGAUUCAGCAAGGCACAAAAGCAUGGCAGUGGCCCAGAUCAAGUGCUCCAUCAAUAUCUAUCUGAUUGGGAGAGAAAAGAAAGCACUAAACAAGAGGCACCAUCAGAGGCUCAGAGGAGGCCCCUUCUUUUUCUUUUUUGUUUGCUGAGGAAGAUUGGCCCUGAGCUAACAUCUGUGCCAAUCUUCCUCUUUUGUAUGUGGGUUGCCACGACAGCAAGGCUGAAGAGUGUUGUAGGUCCAUGCACAGGAUCUGAACACAUGAACAUGGGCCACCAAAGCAGAGUGCACUGAACUUAACCACUAUAUCAUGGAGCUGGCCCCAGGGGGCCUCUUCUGAUGCUGUGCAAGUUGAGAAAAGUUCAGAAAGAAGAGAAGGUCGUCUUGCUGGGUACUGAAGCAAACCUAUGACUAAGGUCAUGUUGGGGCGGGGGCAGGGUCUUGGAAUCAAAGCUCAGAUGGGCAUGCUGAUGCCCUGUCAAUCAAUGUCACCUGCGAGAGGUAGAACAGAGGGCCAAUUGGCAAACUAAGGAAUUCCAAAUGUGCUCAUUUACUCAAGAAAAUACUUUCCUGUCCUCAAAGUACAAAAAGAAAAUAAAUUAACAAAUAUUUAAUCA
rnacentral:lncRNA from 1 species